rnacentral:rRNA from 1 species
CUCCCUGUGAUCUUUAUUAUUGAGGCGAAGACCUCUACGCGUACUCUUGACAUCCUGCGAACUUGGUAGAGGUACCUUGGUGCCUUCGGGGACGCAGAGACAGGUGCUGCAUGGCUGUCGUCAGCUCGUGUUGUGAAAUGUUGGGUUAAGUCCCGUAACGAGCGCAACCCUUGUCCUUAGUUGCCAUCAUUUAGUUGGGGACUCUAAGGAGACUGCCGGUGACAAACCGGAGGAAGGCGGGGACGACGUCAAGUCAUCAUGGCCCUUACGAGUAGGGCUACACACGUGCUACAAUGGCAAGUACAGAGGGCCGCGAAGCCGCGAGGUGGAGCUAAUCUCACAAAGCUUGUCGUAGUCCGGAUUGGAGUCUGCAACUCGACUCCAUGAAGUCGGAAUCGCUAGUAAUCGCAAAUCAGAAUGUUGCGGUGAAUACGUUCCCGGGUCUUGUA